rnacentral:rRNA from 1 species
GACGAACGCUGGCGGCGUGCCUAAUACAUGCAAGUCGAACGCAGUGGGGACGGGUGAGUAACACGUGGGUAACCUCCCUUCAGAGGGGAUAACACUUGGAAACAGGUGCUAAACCGAUACUGAUGGAUGGACCCGCGGUGCAUUAGCGAGUUGGGGAGGAAACGGCUCACCAAGGCCACGAUGCAUAGCGGACCUGGAGGGGUGAUCGGCCACACUGGGACUGGAAAACGGCCCAAACUCCUACGGGAGGAAGCAGUGGGAAAUCUUCGGCAAUGGACGAAGGUCUGACCGAGCAACGCCGCGUGAGGGAAGAAGGUUUUCGGUUCGUAAAACUCUGUUGUUGGGGAAGCGGUAUCUAACCAGAAAGCCACGGCUAACUACGUGCCAGCCGCCGCGGUAAUA